AGCUUCCUGGUGCUUACCACAGGCUGUUUCUUAUACUGACUAUAUAGAAGGAGGAGGAAAAGUAAACCUACCCCAUAUACACCUCAGCCUGGGCCCUGUGCCUUGUCUGUAUUAUGAAUAGGGAGACAUCG
rnacentral:snoRNA from 1 species